AUUUAUGUAAAUCUGAAGGCAUUUUCUUUAAAAGCAAUAACAUAAUUACAAUUGACAUUUUGUCAGGAGUCAGAGCUCUGACUCCCCCUCUGGUCACCAGCAGGAACUGUCACCAGAGUACUCACUGAACUUCAUCUCCCACCAGCCCACAGUUUCUGCUUCCUGCUCAGCUGUCUCCAUUCAGAUAAUCACCCUAAGCGUUUCUUCCUGGACCUGAUCUUCUGCCUGCUGCCUGGACCCUGACUACUCUACUGUCUUCUUGGAUGUUCCAAUGCUCAUGAUUGACAUCUGCCUGCCUGACCCUGAUUUAGUUUUGUGGACUUUUAGCGCCGCUUAGUUCUGAACUUAUAAACCUGCUGCAAGUGGAACCAGCUGUCUACCUGUUUGUGACACAUUUUUAAUCAAGAAUCAAGAAUGGAUGAAAGGAUUCUGUUGAAGUGACUUACCUGCAUUAACAGCCACAGAUCUUCGUCUUAUUAUGAGAAUGGCACCCAAAGCAGCGAGAAGCAUGAGUGGAACAACUGCAGCGACCACAGGCACAACCACAGGCACAGAAACUGGUGGUGAUUCUGGAGGAAACAAAAGACUUUGCAGGUGAUGUUUCCAAGAAGCUGUCUAUGUAUGAUGAUAGAAACAUUAAACACUCUGGAUCUUUCAGAUGUGUCUCUGCUGAGGACCUGACUGUGUUUGUUAGAUUGUAAAAGUAAGAGAUCGUUCAAAGUCAGAGAGAGUUCUGCUUCAUCUCCUUCAAAGGAACAGCUGACUUUCUUCUGUUCUGGUGACAAACACUGCUGGGACACCGUUAACACAGACACGGGAUCUGCAAGAUAAAAAAUAUAGAGUAGUCACAACAAAAUACAGACGGUCUUAAAAUCUAAAUUAAAUGAGCUACAAUUCCUGGUUCAUAUGGGAAAUUUGUUUUGGCGUUUAAAAAAAAAAAA